rnacentral:pre_miRNA from 1 species
CUUACAGAGUUCAUUGGCAUUCUGUCCACCUCCCUCGUUCUUUUUUCGAAAAAAGUAGGAGGAAAGCAAGAUUAGUGUGGAGGUGGGCAUACUGCCAAUAGAGCUGUGUUGG